AUGGCAUGGAGGCCUAACAUGUUCUUCAAUACUCACCCCAAAAAGUUGGGUCGAUUUCAUACAGGUCAGGAUAGUACUAUAGCAUCUGCUCUCAAAGGGCGCCAGGCUCGCCGGAAGGGCUUGUGUCGGGGAACCUCCAUGAUGUGGCCCGAGACGGGCCCUUCCGGGCUAUCCUUGUACUCUCCGAAAGCACAUGUUGUGUGGGACGCACUAUCCGCGUGGAGCAUUGGGCCGCCACCGCCGACGACAGAAGGUGCCAGUAAAAUGGAAACUACUGUUAAUAGUGCUGCUAAUGGAGAAAAACACGUCUCCGAAAUGACCGAUGAGGAAAUCUUGAGGAAACACGGCCAUAUGAAGUUAGUGUGCUCGCCGUUGAGGCUCGCCAAAAUUUGGUACUGGGAGCACCUGCAUUCCGGCAAAUUGAUGUAUACUCCUAUACCUCCACUAUUGGUCGCACGAUGGGAUGAAUGCACGUGCGUAAUAAGAGCAGAAGCUUACACCUCAGGAGGUCUUCAUAAAGGACUGGUUGUGAUGGAAAUUUGUGCUCGACAACCAGAGGCCAACAAUAGAAAGGAUCCAGGAAGCCAAAAAUGUGUACGUGUGGAUGAAGGUGGAAAUGAUAGUUGUAGCCCUGAAUGCAAAAAGAAGAUAGGCUGGCAGUUAAUGGAAUUUCAGCAUAGAUUUGACGCGAAAUUCCUCACCUUGAGCGAAGAGUUAAUCGACAUUAAGAGUAAAUCUGGCAGUAAUCCUAGGCUCUCGCUGCUCGAGGACGAAAUUAAGGACUUAAGGAGGGACCUGAAGGAAUUAAAAAACCAAAGUAAAGUCAGCCAACAAUCCGAGUCACAGAAAGCAGGCGUCGAGGAACAAGUCAAUGUGUGCAGUGAUCCCUUCAUGGCGACUCCUAAGUUCGAUGCAUCCAUGCCACGUUAUUAUGGCGACGCCGGAAGGAGUCCCCCAAACCAUAAUUGUUACCUUAUAUACAUUAUUCCGUGGAAUGAGUCCUCUUUGACUUUACGGCAGGUCCACAUCCCGUUGAAUGUGAAUGAUAACCACUGGAUGGCAAUGGUGUUCAAUUCCGACAAAGAAGAGAUUCAAAUCCUAAACUCCUUGAAAAAUCAAUUUGACGAGUCCAAGGAAACUGCUCUUGUGGAGGCGAUUCAGGCCUGCAUGGACGAAGCGGUGAAGGAUGGCUUGGUAACACCAGCUAAGCCCAUCAAAUUUACCGACUGGGAAGUAGUACGCUAUGACGACAUACCGCAACAGAAUGACGGGCAUUCAUGUGCGUUUUUUACACUGAAGUACAUGUUGACAUGGAACAGUGAAGUAUUUACCGACAAAGUGGAGCAGUCACAGAUAGAUAUAUUUAGCUGGAAAAUAGUUUCAAGCUUGCUGCGUUCAGAUUGCAACAGUCUUCACAUGGGAACAUACAAGUACCCCAUAACGGCGAAGAUGUAUGAAGCCCACGUUGCAUCGCAACCUAUGAAUUCACAAGACGAUGUCCAAGAAAUUAUCGGUACUGUUGGGUGCAAGAUAUCAGACACGUAG
rnacentral:rRNA from 1 species